GCGCGCAGCGGCAGGCGGCGGCGGGAUGGAGCCCGAGCCCGCGGCCGUGGAGGUUCCCGCGGGGCCCGUGCUCAGCGCCCGGGAGCUCUUCGCCGCCCGCUCGCGGUCGCAGAAGCUGCCCCAGCGCUCGCAUGGCCCCAAGGACUUUCUUCCCGACGGAUCGGCGGCUCAGGCCGAGCGGCUGCGCCGGUGCCGGGAAGAGCUCUGGCAGCUGCUGGCAGAGCAGCGCGUGGAGCGCCUGGGCAGCUUGGUGGCUGCCGAGUGGAGGCCGGAAGAGGGCUUCGUGGAGUUGAAGUCUCCCGCGGGCAAAUUCUGGCAGACCAUGGGCUUCUCGGAGCAGGGCCGGCAGCGGCUUCACCCGGAAGAGGCCUUGUAUCUUCUGGAGUGUGGCUCCAUCCACCUCUUCCACCAAGACCUGCCACUGUCUAUCCAGGAAGCUUACCAGCUGCUGCUGACCGACCACACUGUGAGCUUCCUGCAGUACCAGCCACCUGAAGAGGUUGGGUUAUGUGGUUCGACGAUUCCAACCAAGCUCUGUCCUGUCCCCAUAUGAGAGGCAACU
rnacentral:sRNA from 1 species